rnacentral:lncRNA from 1 species
CAUCAAUCUUUAUCCUACGGUACAACCAACUCCGGUCGGCAUCCAUCUUUAAUUGAAGAAAAUAACCAAUUAGAUCAAGAAUAAUCAUGAAUGUGGUCCAAACAUGAAUUUAGUUUACCUAGUUUAUAUCUCCUGUGACGCCCCCAAAAUUAGGUAUACAUCACCCAUCUUGGGUCGCCAAAUACAUGGUACAGAAUUCAAAUACAACUUACUAAUACAACUGGCGUGUACAAUACGACAAAACAUAAACUGUGAGUUUGAAUACAAAUAUUGUCUACUAGAGAUUAUACAAACUCAAAAGGAGUCCUCAUUACAAUUAUUAU